UUAGAUGCGAUAAGCGGAAGAGUAUGUUUGAUGUUCUUUUUUAGAGAGGCUUUGUUUGGUGAAAAUAGGCUAAAGAGAUCAAGCGGAAAAUCACCCGUGAGCAAGACGGAGGAAAUGCCGUCUCGUUGGCUGCGUUAUAGCUUUUCAAGUGAUAGUUUACUAUAAAUUGGGUGGUACCGCGGAAAAUGCGUUUUCGUCCCUUGC
rnacentral:ncRNA from 1 species